UUUGUGCAUAUACAGCAACCCAAUAACUUGGUUCUUAACUCUUUUGUAUCCGUUUGUUGUUGGUGGGUUAUGGACAUGUUUGCAGUUCGGUCGUUUCUGUUCUGUACUAGCUUUUUUUAGUCUGUUUUGUACUAGUUUGUAAAUUGCAAUAAGAAUGAUCGAAUUUGCCUUAUUUUGUUGGUGACUACCCUCAAAGUCCAUUCGGCCAGCUGGUCCUUGCGGUACAUAGUAGAGAGCUCAAGCAUAUGGGGCUGGGCAUGUGUUAUGGGACAAAGGCUUAUUAUAAGAUGGAUAAUUUGGAUUUAUAAGAUGUGUUGCCAGGCCGUAUGAGGGCUUUCAUUUCUAGAUUUCA
rnacentral:misc_RNA from 1 species